rnacentral:rRNA from 1 species
CAGUCGAACGCCCCGCAAGGGGAGUGGCAGACGGGUGAGUAACACGUGGGAACCUUCCCUAUAGUACGGAAUAGCCCAGGGAAACUUGGAGUAAUACCGUAUACGCCCGAGAGGGGAAAGAUUUAUCGCUAUAGGAUGGGCCCGCGUAGGAUUAGCUAGUUGGUGAGGUAAUGGCUCACCAAGGCGACGAUCCUUAGCUGGUUUGAGAGAACGACCAGCCACACUGGGACUGAGACACGGCCCAGACUCCUACGGGAGGCAGCAGUGGGGAAUAUUGGACAAUGGGCGCAAGCCUGAUCCAGCCAUGCCGCGUGAGUGAUGAAGGCCUUAGGGUUGUAAAGCUCUUUUGCCGGGGACGAUAAUGACGGUACCCGGAGAAUAAGUCCCGGCUAACUUCGUGCCAGCAGCCGCGGUAAUACGAAGGGGACUAGCGUUGUUCGGAAUCACUGGGCGUAAAGCGCACGUAGGUGGAUUUGUAAGUCAGGGGUGAAAUCCCGGGGCUCAACCUCGGAACUGCCUUUGAUACUGCAAGUCUUGAGUCCGAUAGAGGUGGGUGGAAUUCCUAGUGUAGAGGUGAAAUUCGUAGAUAUUAGGAAGAACACCGGUGGCGAAGGCGGCCCACUGGAUCGGUACUGACACUGAGGUGCGAAAGCGUGGGGGAGCAAACAGGAUUAGAUACCCUGGUAGUCCACGCCGUAAACGAUGGAUGCUAGCCGUUGGAUAGCU